UGCCGACAGCUAUUUUUGUUUUAGUGUCUGAGUCCAGUUCUAAAUUUUCCACAUCAGCCUGAGAUAAAAUUCCAGAGAAAACAUUCUAGCAUCCCGUACCUUCUAGAACUACAUACAUGUGAAAGUUGAAUGUGUUCUAAAACUCAAGCCUAGAAGAGAAAGAGCCGGUAUUUAGUGUCAGGCUUUGCAUGUACCUUCCCAGGCAAACCAUUAUGGCAUCUCCAAGCUCCCCUUCAGUGUAAGGACCCAGGCAGAAGUUGAUACUUGUUGGUGUUCUUACUCCUGGCCCUGUAGAAGGUCUGAAACGGUUUAUUUACCUUGAUUGUUAUUUAUCUUUUCUCCCCUUCAGUGUAUCAAGUGCCGGUCCAGUAGAGCAGGUUUUUCUUUCUUUGACUUGUGUUGUUAUCUAAACCGUUUAGUUUUGGAUGGCUGCUUUCAACUCUUUAAAAAAACCAAGCGAGGAAAGCAAGGGACACCCAGCCGAGAGGAUAGUGCAGGAGGCAGGCCGUUCCUGCUUGCUUUGGUGCUAGGAGAGACGGACCAUUAAGCAGGAGGAUCAUGGCUCACAGCACAAAGUGCUCAGUUGAACUUUGUUCCAGUCCCUUUGGCAGUGAAACGGUUUAUUCUUUUGGUGCCUUUUGCUUUGCAUACGAGUGCGGCUCUUUCUCUUGCCUCUACUGACAUACAGUGGAAGUGAUCACCCACGCACCCACACUGCCCAACUUUUCUAUCAGAUUGGAAAUUGUACAAAACUACUGGCUGCUUGGGCUCCAGUAACCUGUUCUCUGCUGGUCACCUGGAAAAAUAAAAGAUAUAUAUAUAUUAAUUUUAA